UUUUUAUUAAACUUAAUUUUAUUGGCGGUUUACUAUACUUUCACAGGAAUUUGUUAAUUUUAAUCGAUACCCCGCUUUUAUUAUUACUUUUGUUUCUUUUUAUGUACGGCUGUUAUUAUUUUAGUUUAGAUUUUUUUAUUGUAAAAUUUUUUUUCUAUUUCAGGUCAAUGUGUAGAUCAUACAUUAGUUUUUAAUGAGUUACUUUAUUAGGAGUUUAUUUUAAGUUUUUCUGAAAUUGGAUGUGAUGGUAAAAGUAUGAAUAAAAUUAAACUUUGAUGAAGUAAUUAGUUGAAGUACAUAUCGCCCGUCACUCUUUUGAUAG
rnacentral:rRNA from 1 species